rnacentral:rRNA from 1 species
GUGCGAGCGGGCAGCAGGGAAGCGAAAGAAAAAUGAGAAGUGAGCGGGCAGCCACAGAAGAAAGAGAAAAGAAAAAUGAGAAGUGAGCGGGCAGCCAGAGAAAAAGAGAAGCGACCGGGCGUCUUCCCUGUGACCCUCGUCCCCUCUUGCCGUCGCCGGCUCCUCUCCUCUCCCCGCGCCUCGUCCGCCUCCUCUCCUCCCUCUUCCCUGUCUCCUCACCCGCACCGCCAACUCCUUCUCUCUCCUUGCCCCAGCCGUCUCUCUCCUCCCGCGCGCCGUCAGCUCCGAAUCUGGAGGAAGAGGAGAGAUGCUGGAUUUGGAGGAAGAGGAGAGAUGCGGGAUCUGGAGGAGGAAGAGGAGAUCCGGGCGUCCCGGCGGUGGCUCGACCAAUGCAAGCUGACCUCCUCAUCUCCGACGCGGCCUCUAACCACAUUCUCGACGACGACGCGUUGCUCAUCCCCGCCGGCUUCGAUCUCGUUAUCACGCGUGCCCAUCAAGUUCGUGGACGGCCGCGGGGACGCAUCGGCUCCUUGUGAGGACAAAGCUGAGGACCAGCAUGGUUGUGGGCGCAGUGACCGAGGCGAUGGCAUUGCGUCAUUUUUGCCUCCAUUUCAUUAUUUUUAUGAUCCAGAUAAGGCUGUUCGUCCUGGUUUGGAGGCAGAUGGUGCCAAGGUAGCUCAAAGUUCCGAGAAAAGGUAAAAUUCAGACCUGUUUUUAUCACUGGUAAACUUUUGUGAUCUUCUCUAUUUAUUUAGAUUCAAUUACCAUAGCUGUGGUAAUUUCAUUUUUGUUCCUUGGACAAAUCCUGCAAAUUUUUAAUAGGAAGCAUGUUUCUUGCGUAAUUUUCUCUCGAGACACAAACAGGUGUCACUAUAGGAAAAAUAUCGUAACCAUCAUCUCCCUAGUCAUAGUUCGGGAAAAAAAACUUAUCAAACAUAUAAUUCCAGCUAUGUUACCCGCAUAGCAAGUGCCAUCACGGUAAAGUCAUCCGGUCUGCACGUUGUAUAUCGCCGUCGAUUGUCAGUGUACCUUCCAUAGCUGUGGUAAUUUCAUUUUUGUUUCGCAUGUGGGUUUGGGUGGCCAAGAGAUUUUGCACCACGAACUGUAGCAACAGCCUGACGGUGUAUCUCCCUUGAGCAACAAUCUCCCAUCGUUUUUGUUGAUGAUUUUUUUGCCAGUUUUUGCCAGUUAAGUACUUUCCUGAAGGAGCUCCCAGUUAGGCUUUGAUGUCUGCUUUAGUCUGAUAUUUCCAUUUGAUCUUCCAAAAGGAGCAACCAUCACAGUACCGAAAUUAUGUUCCACUUGAUGGUUCUUAAUUGUAUUUCUCAGUUUGUGUUUGGACUUCCACUGUAGGUGGUUGCGAAUCUCAGGCUUUGCAUGUCCGUCUAUGACAUCCUUGCCGUCAAAGGCAGAUUCAUCUUUCUAGUAUAGGGCUGCUCGACGUAUAAAGUAAUUUGUGCCAUCAUCUCUGCCAUCCAUUUAUCUUUGCUAAGGAAUGUGAGAUGUUACUACUUACUAAUUUUGUAUGUUGUUUAGUAUUCCACUGGUUGCAUGGUGGAUGUUUUUUGCUGUUAGUUUCUUUAUAUGCUAGCGAAGCUCGAGUUCAAUAGUUCUUGUCAUUACGUAUUUGUUAUUCACCCCCGUACUGAAUUUCUUUAAAAUACAUUGGUUCCGGUCUUGACUAUGGGCUGUUUUGCCAUGCUUACAUCAGAGCUCAAAAGUAGAUGUCAUCAACAAGUAGGUGAUACCUGUCUGUCCGAUUUAGCAUUUUCGAAUUGCUCACAACAUUUCUUUCAGCAUGUCAAUGAAAAUGGCACCUUCCCGUUCUGAUGUUCAUUAUGUUUCUUGAAGCCCUCACCAUCUUUAUAUUCAUUACAUAUUCUCAAUAGCUUAUUUCUUAAUAAUACCUAAAGUGAAUACCAGGAGCUCAUCCUUACCUCUCCGGUCUAUUCUUAUUUGAGUAUUAAGAGCACCUACAUUACUUUGGUUCUGUAUGACUGAUCAAAUUUACACACACCUCAAUCAUAGUAAAAUCUGGAAGGAGACGUAAAAGAAUCAAAGAAAAGUAGAGAUGCACAAUAAUCUUACUUUUCAGGGAUUGUUCUUGGGUUCAGCUUUCGCUGGCAUGUUGUUACUACAGAGUUACCCUAUCUCUUUGAAUCGUCGUAUAUACUCCAAACUCUUAUAGAUUAUGCAACUAGCUAAUGGUUGAAACUUUAAUACUCCGCUUUAUGUUAGUUGCUUGUUCUGACUGUAUGUGAUGAUUAUAUCCAUGUGUAUGUAUGUGGUCUUCAAAGUUGUUGAAAGAUUUAAAGCAUAAGCAAGCUCGUCAAAUUCCUUCGGUACGUCAUAUAUUCUUAUGUCUCCUUCCUAUGCUUUAGAGGUUUAUAAUAAGAAGAUAUGAGAUUCAGUCUUCCCUUUUCAGUAUAUCUGGAAGUAUAUGGGAGAGAUUACUAGGUCACACAUAUAGUUCAGUUAUUAAGUUUCUAAAUAAGUUCACAUUGUAGGAUUAAUAUUUGGCACCUGACAUGAGAUUGAGAAAUACCAUGCUUUAAUUAAUUAUUAGUACAUACCUUGUGCAGGGCACAUAAAAUAUAUCUGAUAUCGUUUUUUAUGAAUAUUUUUUUUCUUUUCUACCCUAAUUCAGUAGCACCACUUCUUGAUGUUAUUUCUCUAUACGAUUGUUGCUUCCACUAUAGUUUUUCUCACUGAAAUGAAUUUGAAUUAGGUCACUUUAGUACCAAGGUAAAAAUUUAUUUGUUCUUGAGAAGAGCCAAAAUCCUAGGUGAUCGUUAGAUAUUAUUGAUAAUUAUCAAUUAAUAAUUAUAUGCUUGACUGUUUGUUGAUGACCAGUAAAUUUGUCAGUGUGCUUUUGGAAUUUCCAUGUGUUGAAUAAAAUUGGCAAUGGGAUCGGGAGUUGGUGGCAAAGAAUUAUGUGGUUUGAUGGCACUAGGGGCAGGAGUGGUGAUUUGACUAAGAAGGUGCCUAAAUAAGCUGUGAGGCUGCCUAAACAAAAAUGUAUUUCUGUUAACCGAUCUAAGUCAUUCUACUAUCUGUAAACCAAUUUAAGUCACUCUACUAUUUGUAAUACAAUCCACAUUGCAUUAUCUUUCUAUCUACAUUUCCUACUUACUCACUACUAACAUUGCUUCUAACUGGCUUCCGGGUCAUCUAGUAGCUCUAAAAGAUGACUAUAGCUCUACAGAUGGCGCUUGUUUCGAAC